AACGAACGCUGGCGGCAGGCUUAACACAUGCCAGUCGAGCGCAUCCUUCGGGGUGAGCGGCGGACGGGUGAGUAACGCGUGGGAACGUGCCCUCUUCUACGGAAUAGCCUCGGGAAACUGAGAGUAAUGCCGUAUACGCCCGCAAGGGGAAAGAUUUAUCGGAGGAGGAUCGGCCCGCGUUGGAUUAGGUAGUUGGUGGGGUAACGGCCUACCAAGCCGACGAUCCAUAGCUGGUUUGAGAGGAUGAUCAGCCACACUGGGACUGAGACACGGCCCAGACUCCUACGGGAGGCAGCAGUGGGGAAUCUUGGACAAUGGGGGCAACCCCGAUCCAGCCAUGCCGCGUGAUCGAUGAAGGCCUUAGGGUUGUAAAGAUCUUUCAGCUGGGAAGAUAAUGACGGUACCAGCAGAAGAAGCCCCGGCUAACUCCGUG
rnacentral:rRNA from 1 species